UCAAGAAACUUCCACAAUGGGCGAAAGCCUGAUGGAGCGACGUCGCGUGAUGGACGAAGUGCUUCGGCACGUAAACAUCUUUUUAUGUGGGAUGAAAUUAUUGACAGUACCACAUGAAUAAGGGGCUCCUAACUCUGUGCCAGCAGGAGCGGUAAUACAGAGGCCCCAAGCGUUAUCCGGAAUCACUGGGCGUAAAGGGUGUCGAGACGGUUGUAUUAGUCGUUCGUAAAAUCUACGAGCUUAACUUGUAGGCGGCGAACGAAACGGUACGACUUGAGGUUUGGAGAGGUGCGUGGAACUCACGGUGUAGGGGUGAAAUCCGUUGAUAUCGUGGGGAACACCAAAGGCGAAGGCAGCGCACUGGCCAAAAUCUGACGCUCACACACGAAAGCUAGGGUAGCGAAGAGGAUUAGAUACCCGUGUAGUCCCUGAGCGGGCUGGCAAGGCGCAU
rnacentral:rRNA from 1 species